rnacentral:lncRNA from 1 species
UGCUCUAUGUUUUAAUGUCGGGAGGAGCGGGACUAUAAUACAACCAAAACGUAGUGGUAAGUGGAGCAGGUACAUUAAAAAAUGAAGUCACGGAGAUGAUUUUCCUAUACACAUUGAGGAAAUUAUAGUACGCAAGCUGUCCUACACGGGAGAACAAAGGGAGACAGGAGCUCGUUAAGAUGAGGAACAAAACAUUGGUUUAAGGUUAAAAACGGACAGAGUGGUUUGUUUUGCAGCGAGAAAAAAGAGGCGGUGGAUGGCGAUUGGUGAUAUAGGAGAACGUUCAGCAACACUUGCUCUUCCAGCCUGUCACCCCACCUCCACUGCUGAUAUCUACAUUUUCACUGUUGGGCUCUUUUACAGGCGUCUUUCGAAGAAUGUCUUCUGCUAAUGUGAGGAAUGCCUUCUCAAUGUUUAUAUUUGCUUUUGCACUAGUUUCGAAAAACCUAAUACCGUGCUCCCUAGCAAUCUGUUCACCUUUUGCUUUAGGAACAACUCUUUUAUCUUCCAUGUCACACUUGUUUCCUAACAGCAUCCUCUCCACGUCUUCAUUGGCAUGCUCGUCUAUGUUUCUGAGCCACUUGCUGAUGUUUUCAAAGCUCUUGGCAUUGGUGAUGUCAUAUACUAGCAUGAUUCCCAUGGCACCUCUGUAAUAGGAGGUGGUGAUGGUGUGAAAUCGCUCCUGCCCUGCUGUGUCCCAUAUCUGUAGCUUGAUCUUCUUUCCUUGUAAUUCAACAGUUUUAAUCUUGAAGUCUAUCCCGAUGGUGGAAAUGAAGGUGGUGUUGAAGGCAUCGUCGGAGAAGCGGAAGAGCACGCAGGUCUUGCCGACCCCCGAGUCCCCGAUCAGCAGCAGCUUGAAGAGCAGGUCGUAGGUUUUCUUCGCCAUGGGGAGCGGCUGCGGCCUCCUCCCGCUCGCCCCCCCCCGCACCCAGCGGCCGCCCCGGCCCCCCCCUGCCGGCAGCAGCACGGCCCGCGCCGCUCGCUGAGGGCGGCGGCGGCGGCGAACGACGACGACGACGACGACGAGGAGGAGGAGGGAGGAGGAGGAAGGAGGCCCACAAAAUGGCUUCCUGCCGCGCUCCUCGCGCCCGCUGCUGCUUCUCCUCACGGGGAGGCGGCGGCGCUCGGCCUCAUAACCCCGCGGCCCGGCUCUGCUCGCUGCGGCCCGGCCUUUGCACGGCGGCGGCUCCUCAGCGGCGCUCGGUAACCGCGCAGGCCGCCAGGCGAGGCCGUGACGUCAGCAUGCAUGCACGCACGGACGUCCGGACGCACACGAGCCCCACCUUCCCUGUGUCAGGCCACGGGCUGCAAGCCCAUGACGUCACGGGGGAGGGGCGAAGUCGCUCUCGCGAGGCGGAAGUCCCGCCUCCCCCUUCACGUGAUUGGUUGCAG